rnacentral:rRNA from 1 species
AACGAACGCUGGCGGCAGGCCUAACACAUGCAAGUCGAACGCCCUAGCAAUAGGGAGUGGCAGACGGGUGAGUAACGCGUGGGAACGUGCCUUUCGGUUCGGAAUAACUCAGGGAAACUUGAGCUAAUACCGGAUACGCCCUUCGGGGGAAAGAUUUAUUGCCGAAAGAUCGGCCCGCGUCCGAUUAGCUAGUUGGUGUGGUAAUGGCGCACCAAGGCGACGAUCGGUAGCUGGUCUGAGAGGAUGAUCAGCCACACUGGGACUGAGACACGGCCCAGACUCCUACGGGAGGCAGCAGUGGGGAAUAUUGGACAAUGGGCGCAAGCCUGAUCCAGCCAUGCCGCGUGAGUGACGAAGGCCUUAGGGUUGUAAAGCUCUUUUGGCGGGGAAGAUAAUGACGGUACCCGCAGAAUAAGCUCCGGCUAACUUCGUGCCAGCCGCCGCCGUAACAC